rnacentral:rRNA from 1 species
GACGAACGCUGGCGGCGUGCUUAACACAUGCCAGUCGAACGGAAAGGCCCUGCUUUUGUUGGGUGCUCGAGUGGCGAACGGGUGAGUAACACGUGAGUAACCUGCCCUUGACUUUGGGAUAACUUCAGGAAACUGGGGCUAAUACCGGAUAGGAGCUCCUGCUGCAUGGUGUGGGUUGGAAAGUUUCGGCGGUUGGGGAUGGACUCGCGGCUUAUCAGCUUGUUGGUGGGGUAGUGGCUUACCAAGGCUUUGACGGGUAGCCGGCCUGAGAGGGUGACAGGCCACCUUGGGACUGAGAUACGGCCCAGACUCCUACGGGAGGCAGAAGUGGGGAAUAUUGCACAAUGGGCGGAGGCCUGAUGCAGCAACGCCGCGUGCGGGAUGACGGCCUUCGGGUUGUAAACCGCUUUCGCCUGUGACGAAGCGUGAGUGACGGUAAUGGGUAAAGAAGCACCGGCUAACUACGUG